rnacentral:rRNA from 1 species
UACGUAGGGAGCAAGCGUUGUCCGGAAUCAUUGGGCGUAAAGCGCGCGUAGGUGGCCAUUUAAGUCCGCUGUGAAAGUCAAAGGCUCAACCUUUGAAAGCCGGUGGAUACUGGGUGGCUAGAGUACGGAAGAGGCGAGUGGAAUUCCUGGUGUAGCGGUGGAAUGCGCAGAUAUCAGGAGGAACACCGGUGGCGAAGGCGGGUCUCUGGGCAACUACUGACGCUGAGGAGCGAAAGCGUGGGGAGCGAACAGG